UAAUUAGCCAAGAAUUGGUGUGUAGUGAUUGAAGAGAAGUGUGUUCAAGUGAGGGGAAGCUCUUGAUGCGAUGAAACUCACUUGUGAGGGGGAGAUUGUUAGGAUAUCACAAGUGAGUUGGAGUUCCACAUCAGAUAAAUAAUGAAAGAGUGAAUAAUUAAUAUACAUGAAUGGACCUAAGACUUAAUGACUUAAGUUUUUGGUUUAAACAUGUAUAUUAAUGUCUUGAAUACGUACGGGCUCUCCAAAU
rnacentral:lncRNA from 1 species